rnacentral:lncRNA from 1 species
GGGUCGGAGCAAACGCUGGGACGAGAGUCAGCUGCGGCUUGCGGAUUCGUGUAGGAGGGAUGUAUGGGCACGCAGGAAUGUGAAUGGGGGUAGUUGCUGCCCGGCGUGUUGAGAAGCCGGCCGGGCAGACUUUUGUGGGCGGCGGCCGUGACCGGCGCCGCCAGGCCGUGCCGCACGGGGGCCUAAACGGAGAUAGGUCUUUGCCCCGCGGCACGGCUACCAAGCCCCUCUUCUGGUUCGCUGCCUCCCGGAUAUUUGGAGCUUUGCCAUUUUGUUUGUGGAAAGGGACGGGCCGCGCAGGUGGCUGUAUGGGCGUGGCCCUUUAAGACGGAUGACGUCCAGACAUGACGAGUAUGUGGCUGUAUGGAGUGAGGUCAGUAAGUAAUAUAAUAAAAUAUAUUGUUGUCCUCAGGCAAAAUAUAUUUUAUUAUAUUACUUACUGAGGUCAUGUGUAAGCGUGCGUGGUGUGAUCUGGAAGGACCUCUUGCCUGCAGCCGACCAUCUCAAAGGUCUAUUUUAAGCGGAGUGCAACGCAGAUUAAAAUUGGUUUUGAAGUAAGGCGUAAGACAAAGGUCCGGACAUGCGUUGUGUUUGAGGUGGGUGGAGGAGUGCAGAGGACAUGGGGCGUGCCGGUUUGGCCCUGGAGCCUUGGGUGGGCAAUGAGCAGCCGCAGCAGCUCAGUCCAGUUGUCUUUGAUUUAUUGUCGGCAUUACCGCGAGCGGUAUGUGGCCGGCUUUAGCAGCUUUUCGCUAGUCUUGCUCAAAUGACUCGCAUUGAGUAUUGGCCAGACUUGCUUACCCACCCGCCCACCCUGCAAGUCUAUUUGGAAAGUGCCCGCUGGCGUUGAGGGGUCUUACUGCUGGGCAGCAGAAGGAAAGCGCUGUUGCAAUGGCGUUACUGUUUAUGCUACAUAGUAUCCGGGGGGUAGUUGCUGCCCGGCGUGUUGAGAAGCCGGCCGGGCAGACUUUUGUGGGCGGCGGCCGUGACCGGCGCCGCCAGGCCGUGCCGCACGGGGGCCUAAACGGAGAUAGGUCUUUGCCCCGCGGCACGGCUACCAAGCCCCUCUUCUGGUUCGCUGCCUCCCGGAUAUUUGGAGCUUUGCCAUUUUGUUUGUGGAAAGGGACGGGCCGCGCAGGUGGCUGUAUGGGCGUGGCCCUUUAAGACGGAUGACGUCCAGACAUGACGAGUAUGUGGCUGUACGGAGUGAGGUCAUGUGUAAGCGUGCGUGGUGUGAUCUGGAAGGACCUCUUGCCUGCAGCCGACCAUCUCA